rnacentral:rRNA from 1 species
GAUGAACGCUGACAGAAUGCUUAACACAUGCAAGUCUACUUGAACUUCGGUUUGGGUGGCGGACGGGUGAGUAACGCGUAAAGAACUUGCCUCACAGUUAGGGACAACAUUUGGAAACGAAUGCUAAUACCUGAUAUUAUGAUUUUAGGGCAUCCUAGGAUUAUGAAAGCUAUCUGUGCUGUGAGAGAGCUUUGCGUCCCAUUAGCCAGUUGGCGAGGUAACGGCUCACCAAGGCGAUGAUGGGUAGCCGGCAUGAGAGGGUGAACGGCCACAGUGGGACUGAGACAGGGUGCAGGGUCCAAAGGGAGGCAGCAGUAGGGAAGCUUCAGCAAGGAGUGAAGGCUUGACGGAGAAAUGCCGCGUGAGUGAUGAAGGUUUUAGGAUAGAAAAAAAAUGUUAUUAGGGAAGAACAAAUGUGUAAGUAACUAUGCACGUCUUGACGGUACCUAAUCAGAAAGCGACGGCUAACUACGUG